CGCAGAUGCGAGAGGCUGUGUGUGAUGACCACUUUUGUUUUUGCUAAGCUAAAUGAUUAUUUCGUUGAAUCCAUGUGUGAACCUGAAGGGCUGUGACGGUGUCUGUCCCAUGUUCAUGCUAACACAUCAUCUUGGCUAGGUUUUUUUGUGUGUGUGACGAUUAAGAAGACAAAGACAAGACUGGAUCUGGAUUCUUCUUUGGAGGAAACGGCGAGCCUGUCCCAGAACCCAGAACUGAGAACUGAGAGCAACCUUCUUCUCUGCUCUUCUUAUCGAACUCAUCACGUGGUAACCACUCAAACUACCACAGCGAGGAUCCUGUUGGAACAUUGACUUUGACUAUACUGACUGAAUAUACUGAGCUCAGUAGGACUAAGGGUGAAUUAUGGUGCACAACUUAAUGUAAACAUAG